rnacentral:rRNA from 1 species
GACUAGUCGAGCGAACAGAAGGGAGCUUGCUCCCGGAUGUUAGCGGCGGACGGGUGAGUAACACGUGGGUAACCUGCCUGUAAGACUGGGAUAACUCCGGGAAACCGGAGCUAAUACCGGAUAGUUCCUUGAACCGCAUGGUUCAAGGAUGAAAGACGGUUUCGGCUGUCACUUACAGAUGGACCCGCGGCGCAUUAGCUAGUUGGUGGGGUAAUGGCUCACCAAGGCGACGAUGCGUAGCCGACCUGAGAGGGUGAUCGGCCACACUGGGACUGAGACACGGCCCAGACUCCUACGGGAGGCAGCAGUAGGGAAUCUUCCGCAAUGGACGAAAGUCUGACGGAGCAACGCCGCGUGAGUGAUGAAGGUUUUCGGAUCGUAAAGCUCUGUUGUUAGGGAAGAACAAGUGCGAGAGUAACUGCUCGCACCUUGACGGUACCUAACCAGAAAGCCACGGCUAACUACGUGCCAGCAGCCGCGGUAAUACGUAGGUGGCAAGCGUUGUCCGGAAUUAUUGGGCGUAAAGGGCUCGCAGGCGGUUUCUUAAGUCUGAUGUGAAAGCCCCCGGCUCAACCGGGGACGGUCAUUGGAAACUGGGAAACUUGAGUGCAAAAAAGGAGAGUGGAAUUCCCCGUGUAGCGGUGAAAUGCGUAUAGAUGUGGAGGAACACCAGUGGCGAAUAGCGACUCUCUGGUCUGCUA